AUGGCUUCGCGGCCGCAGCCAGCAGAGCGCCGCGUCCGAGCUGCAGCGCCGGCGGCGGAGUCCGACGACAUCCUGAGGAAAAUAUUCCUCCUCCUAGACUCACCCGCCGACCUGGCACGUGGCUGUGCGGCGAGCCCCGCCUUCCGUCGCGUCAUCACCGACCAGGGCUUCCUACGCCGCUUCCGUGCCCUCCACCCGCCGCCCCUCCUCGGCAUCAGCGCCGACAUCUUCCUACCUGCCGAGCCGCCGCAUCCCUCCGCCGCUGCGGCCCGCAAGUUCGUGGAGGACGCCGGCGCCAUCGAUUUCACGUGCAUGCCCUUCCUCCCUGCCCCCGGCGGCCCAUGGGAUUUCUGGGAGUCCCGCGAUGGCCGUACUCUCUACACCGGUCAAAUCCAGCGGGGAAGCUGUUGCGGAAGGCAUCGCUCCCUGGGCCGGCCCGUCGCCGUUUGCGACCCCCUCUAUCGGCGGUGCCUCGUGCUGCCUGCCAUCCCCAAGGACGUAGCCGCGUUGGUCAACCAUGGAAAGCGCCUCGACGACUUCAAGCCCUUCCUCGCUCCACCCGCGGCAGAUGAGCAUGACUCGUACUUCCCUGCUCAUCCUACCAGUGACGGCGGUGAGGACGAUGACAAGGACGGCGGUGAGGAUGCAUUAUUGGCGCCAUCAUUCAGAGUGAUGUGCUUGGUGCAGUGUGCAGGCAACUUAUUCCUCUUUGUCUUCUCUACAAGCGGUGCCGCUGCAGGACAACCAUGGCGUGCCGUCAAGUUCGACGGCUGGGGUGCUUUGGGCAAUGACCCACUCUAUUCAUACAGGCCGUUCCUACCACACAACUUCGUGCAUGGGCGGUUCUAUUUGCCAAUCCGCCCUGAGAGAAACAAGAUCCUCGUCAUCGACGUCAGGGCGAGCACCCCAUGGUUCUCCAUCAAAGACUUCCAGCCUCGUGAUAGCGACUCGCCUGUGACCUUCGUGGAGGCCGCUGGAGAUCAAGAGCGGCUCGCGAUGGUCACCAUUGGUAAGCACAAUGAUAGGUACAAUGUGUACCACCUCCGGUAUGCCGUCUUGCAGGAAGAUGACGGGGAUCGGUGGGAACCAAAACCGGUCAUCUACUUGCCCGUGCAUUACCAUUACUACCGAUUCAUCGGGGUGGCUGGGGGAUACCUGCAGCUGGAGGGGGCGCCGGAAGGUAGAGAGGAGGAUUGCGAUUUGUCUAGGCCGGACAUGGUGUGCUUCUCGUUGGAUCUCCGCACGCUACAGCUCGAGCGGUUCUGUGGGAGCAUCGGCGUGACGAGGCCGUUUUGGUGGCGACGGUCGCUCUGUUUUAAACGCACCCUAGCGGCUCAUGAUGAAUUUGAACGGCCGAAGCGGCACCCACUGGACUUGUGCGGCUGCAGCAUCGGUGGCCUCGCGAAUCAUGAUUGGCAUGACAAUGAGAGUGUAUGGAAACUCACAUUCGCAUACGUGCAACCAACCCAGCGCCGCGUGCGGGCACCUGCGGCGGCGGUGGAGUCCGACGACAUCCUGAGGCAGAUCUUCCUCCUCCUCGACUCCCCGGCUGACCUCGCCUGCGUCUGCGCGGCCAGCCCCGCCUUCUGCCGCGUCAUCACCGACCCCAGCUUCCUCCGCUGCUUCCGUGCCCUACACCCGCCACCCAUCCUCGGCGCUCUCUCCGACGUCUUCCUCCCCGCCGAGCAGCCACAUCCAUCUGCCGCCGUCGCCCGCGCGCUCCUGGACGAAGGCGCCGCCGACUUCUCAUUCUCCUUCCUCCCCUCUCCUGGCCCGUGGGAGAUCCGUGAAAUCCGUGAUGGCCGCGCCCUCCUCUCCGAGCACCCCGAGGAGUGCUGCAAGUACAUCUAUGACAAGCAUGCCUUGCACAGCCGCCUCGCCGUCUGUGAUCCCUUGCACCGGCGAUACCGCGUGCUGCCCGCCAUCCCCGAGGACCUAGCUGCGAUAGUCGUCGUCCCUGAACCGAAUGUGAUAGACUUUCAGCCCUUUCUCGCUCCGGCCGCCGAGGCUGAGGAGGACGUGCCCUUGGUUGCUCCUCCUUCCGGUGCCAACGACAAUGUGUCGGCGCCGCCAUUUACAGUGAUGUGCCCGGCGAGGUGCAGCAUAACAGAACUGAUCUUCUUGGUUUCCACGUCCUCGCGCGCCGGAGGAGAGUGGCAAGCUGUCAAGUUUGACGAAUGGAGUGCUUUGAAUGGCGGCCCGCACGAAGAAUCGCUUUUGUGGUUGUCACGGAGCCACAAUUACAUGCGCGGACACUUUUGUUGGUUCAUCUACCCCGCGUAUAAGAAGCUGCUCGUCCUUGACGUGCGCGGGACCACACCGGAGUUCACCUGUAUCGACCUCCCGUCUAGGCUCAAGCACGACCAUAUAUCUCAACCAUACGCCGCCCUGCGAGAUGAGAACUGUGAGGAAUCGGAGGCAAGGGUGAUCAUCCACCUGAUGCCCUUGGACUACGAAAACUAUCGCUUCAUGGGGGUGGCCAGGGGGUAUCUGCUGCUGAAGGCGCGUCCAUUAGGCUGGCAUUGGGCCAGGCGCAAUCCAGACACAUGUCCUGAUAAGGCGUUAUUCUCUUUGGAUCUCCAAACGCUGCAGCUCAAGUGGUUAUGUGGGAGAAAGGAGAUGUCGUCCCCAUACGUCUGGUUGUAUGCUGGGCUCCCACGUGACCCGGUGCUCUUCGAAGGUGCCUUUCGUUGGAGUGGACAUCGCCACUUCAUGUCUUGGUCCUCUGUGUAUACUUCUUCGACUCGUGAUGUUUCGCCAUCUUUGGUAUUGCUGGGGAUCUGCCAUUUUCAUCGUCUUCUUAUCCGGCAUGAUGAUUCAUUUUCCAAAUCAUUGUCGCCAACAUCUUUUGCUCCAAACCAACAACUACACGACCUAUCCAUCAACAUGUUUCCCGUGCUCCAAUAG
rnacentral:rRNA from 1 species